CGCCUUGUUUUUUCAAAAACAUGGUUUUUUGAUUUAAAAUGUAGAAUCUGGCCUGCUCAAUGUUUAUAUGAAUAGCCGCGGUAUAUUGACUGUGCGAAGGUAGCAUAAUAAUUAGGCUAUUAAUUUGUUCUUGAAUGAAGGGUUGGAGGGGGAAAUACUAUCUUAUUUGUAUAGUUGAAUUUAAAUAACCAGUAAAAAUGCUGGUGUGAUAUAAAAAGACGAGAAGACCCUAUUGAGUUUUAUAUUGUUGUUUAAGUAUAUUAGUUUAUAAUUUUGAUUUGUAAUAUUUGAUUGGGGCGAUUAUUUUAAUUAAACAAAAUAUGAUUUUGAAGAUGAUUUUUUGAUCCAUUAAUAAUGAUUAGUAGAAUAAAUUACCAUAGGGAUAACAGCAUAAUUUAAUUGGAGAGUUCUUAUUGAUAAUUGAGUUUGUGACCUCGAUGUUGGAUUAAGGUUCCUUCUAGGUGCAGGGGUUAGGAAGGUAGACUGUUCGUCUAUUAAAUUCUUACAUGAUCUGAG
rnacentral:rRNA from 1 species